ACAUAAUAUCAAACCCUUAUCUUUAUAAUAAAACUAAAUUCUUGUUUAUAACAUUAAUGAUCUUGUAAACCACAAGUCCAAAAAAACACACACUUUGUAUGAAACCGAUCUAUAACUACCUCCAAUUCAAUACACCUUAUAGAUUCGCGACAGGUGACGUCUUAAAAGACCGAUAAAAGAUCGAUUGCAGAAUAGACAGACUCUUUGGCGUAGUUUGGCAACGUAUAACUGCUUUUUCGUUUCCAAACUUGACAAAGUCUAUCGGUUGGACGCGUCCUACCUUCACUUGACUGUCGACCCAUGGUGGGUUUAUUUUAUUCUGCGUAAUGUGAAUUGAUUAAAUCGCAUAUCUUUUUAAUUCCAAAAUUACCAUAAAGAUUCGAACUUUUUUUAACAGUUUUAAUUGAAAUUCUGACUUAGGGGCUUAAGGGGGUUUCAGUGGCUGAAAACAAGAGUGCUUUUACAAUUCAUACAAUAUAGAAUCAUAUAUUUAAUUUAAACAAUUCAGCAUAUCAAAGUUACAUAUUUAAACAGUAUUUUUUGAAAUUUUGAUUUACGAAUUCCGAAACCUAAGCCCUUGGUAGCCAAACUCUCAUGAUGUGUCCAAAAAAGUGUCUAUCUCUUUGAAUUUUAAACAGAUCUAUUUGAUAUUUUUGGAUAAAAUUUUAAACAUAUUGUAAUAUUUAAUUAGACAGAAAAAAAAAUUGUUCAAAGUUUGAAAAUUUUAAACCCACGUAACUCCUAAAAUUAAACGACUGUUUAUCAUUUUUUCGCCUGACAAACAUCAAGUGACUAUUCUGGUAUCAGCAGUAAAAUUUACCAAAAUAAUGUGUAAUGGUUAUGAUUAUAUAGAAACCGCCUAAAGGUAUAAUAACUAGUUUUUGUUUGGGAAAUUUUUUAUAAUUGUAUGUCGCUACCAAUCAGUGUCGGUGCACCAAAUCUUCAAACCAAUUGCAUAUUAAUUGCAAUUAUUUUAUUAUGUGUGUUUCAUUUCAUACUGUGUUUAAUAUCCUAAUAGCUUGAAAUAUCAUGCAGGACAAGGUCCGUCGGGUCCGCUAGUAUUAUAUAAUAAUGUUUACUUACGUUAUAUGUAAUACUAUAAAAUGAUGUAUAUAGGGGCAUGUCUGUGUUAUCACUUUAUAGCGUUUAUACAUGUUUUCGUCUUUUUUGUUGAUUUUAUGAAAUUCAUGUUUAUUGGUUAAGUUAAUUACAAUGCGCUUAUUGUGGUUUUGAAACUAAAUGGGCUAUGAGUUAAAGUAUAAGUUAAUUUGGUACUAAAAAAGAAGUACGAUCGGUUCAUAGCUCCACCGAAGAAGGAAUGUUGGUUGGUUUCAGCUUGGAUUGUCGGAUUAUUGUGUGUUGACUUUGUUUCGCUUACAAAAAAAAAAACUACUCUUAAAAUUUUCAUAUUCAUAUGUUUGUGUUUUAGUAUUUAUUGUUAUGGUCAGUAUAACACUAUUGUACAUAGUCAAUUAUUGUAUGUAUGCAUUUGAGAGCACUUAUGAAUUAUGUAUAUGUUUCCUAACAGAUGUCAAGCACCACUAAAUCCAUCAGCAGGACAUCUACAAUGCAGAAGUCGUCGUCGUCAACAAUAAGUA